rnacentral:lncRNA from 1 species
UACAGACCAAGCUCAUGACUCACAAUGGCCUAUUUAGGCCCAUACCCUACCUCACGGCAGUCUCCGCAGAUGAGCCUACUGCCUCACAACAGCCUCCACAGGCACAGCUCCAUCGUUACAAUGGCCUCUUUAGACCCAGCUCCUGCCUCCCAGCCUUCUCUCCAGGCCCUGAACUUUCUCAAGUCGACCUCACCAGGCCCAGCUCAUGCUUCUUUGCAGC